AGGAGGGGGGGAGAGAGAAGCG
rnacentral:miRNA from 1 species